rnacentral:rRNA from 1 species
UACGGAGGGUGCAAACGUUGCUCGGAAUCAUUGGGCGUAAAGCGCACGUAGGCGGUCCAGUAAGUCGGGUGUGAAAUCCCUCGGCUCAACCGAGGAAGUGCAUUCGAAACUACUGAACUUGAGUAUGGAAGAGGGUCGCGGAAUUCCCGGUGUAGAGGUGAAAUUCGUAGAUAUCGGGAGGAACACCAGUGGCGAAGGCGGCGACCUGGGCCAAUACUGACGCUGAGGUGCGAAAGCGUGGGGAGCAAAAGGG